rnacentral:tRNA from 8 species
GCCGGAGUGGUGGAAUUGGUAGACGCAGAGGACUCAAAAUCCUCCGGGCGCAAGCCCUUGCGAGUUCAAGUCUCGCCUCCGGUACCA